UCUAUACAUAAUUAUAUUUUUUAACAUAACUUUAAAAUCUCGGACUUGAUUCUUCAUAUUUUAGUUAAUUUUGCUACAUAUAAUAGAGAUAUUUACUUCAAACUAAAUAUAUAAAAAAAAAUCAAAUUUGAAAUUUAGUUAUAAUAUAAUUUAAUAUACAAAAAUUCACAUAGAAAUAAAAAUGAUAAAUGUAACAAAUUUAAAUAUAUUAUCCGCGCGUAGCACGGACAAAGGAUCUAGUAACUAUAAUUGGAAAAAAAUAUAGAUGAUAUUCAGACAUAUGUUUCAUCGAAGGAAAAUAAAAUGUAGAUAAAAAAUAAAAAUUUAACAAAUAAUACUUUAUUUCAGAAAACAUCAUUAAACUAAAAUAAUUAUAGUCAAAAUAUAACGGGACAUAUCUUAUGUAAAAUUUAAUUUGAAAUUGACAAAUUGUUUGUUUGUAAAAAAGAGUAUUAAAGGAAAGGACUCUCUGCCACAAAUUGAGGGAACUUACCCACUCGGUUUUCUAAUUUGCAUGUUUUCUCAGUUUUAUUUAUGAAAAUUAUAAUGGCUGUAAUUUUAUUCGUCCAUAUGAUUGGUCAUUAUUAAAAGAUGAGUGACUUUGUAAUGGCAUAAAUGGUGCCACUGAGUUAGUGGAUGCCUUUUACUUUGAAACAUAUACUAGGUUUGAAGCAUGUUUUUAAAUAUCGUAACUAAAAAUUCUAUAGUUUAGAAUUGUAUACUACUUGUAGUAAUAUUUUUCCAAAACCACAUUGAUAAGAAGGAAUGUUUUUAUGUUUAGUAAUGGGCACGGUGCAUGUUUAGUUUCUGUAAGAAUAUUUACCCCCAAAACCUGUAGAUCCAUAGUUAGUUUCAUCUUUAAUUUUUUUAGUUACAAACGUUUAUGAUGUGAUCAUUUAUAAUUAUGAUUAUUUAUUAUUUUAUCAAUUUUCAGCAAAAGAGAAAACAAAUAACGAACCAAAAGAUCAUCAGCAUAACUGAAAAAUAGGAAAAAAACUUAAGUUUAACAAAAUUGAAUAGUAUAUAGAAAGGAUCAUAUCACAUAAUUUGAUUUCUAACAUUUAAAACAUAUAGAUUUCAAGCCAAAUCUCGUAAACAUUUAAAAAAACAAUCAAGAUCAAUUUAUUUAAAUCCCUUAAGAAUCAUUUAAACAUUUUCUUUCGUUUAUAUUCUCUUCAAAAUCCGAUAGUGAUCUUUGCUGGUUGGUGGUGGUGGAUUAGUUAUUCUUUAACUAUAGAUUAAAGUAUGGAUUUUGUAGGCUAAAAUAUUACUAUAGAAGAUUAUAUUAAUUCACUAUUAGUUGUCACAAAAUACUUUGAAGCUGUUGAAUAUAUUCCUCAGUUCAAAGAAGGGAAAUGAAAGAAGAAGCUCUCUUUGUCAUAUAUAAAAACAUGUUUGAGUGUUUUAUUCUUCGACAGAUUCAUUUCAUUUUUCUUUUGACUGUUUCCUCGUCUAUCUUCCUUAAUUGAGUUUUCAUUGUAGAUGUUUAUUAGUUGUAUAUAUGGAUUAUAUAUCUACUCUAGUUAGUACGAGUUAAUACAGCCUUGUAGUUGCUGUAAUACUCAAAUUGUGAAACUAUGAGUGUGAAUGUAUUUUUAAGACCAUCUCCAACGUAUUUUGCUAUUUUUACUUCUAAAAUAGAGGAAUUAUAUAAUAUAUGUGAGAUAUGCUCUAAUGUAUUCCUCUAAAAUAGCAAUUUCUAAAUGUAGAGUUAAAAAUAGAGGAAUG